UACGGGGGGGGCAAGCGUUGUUCGGAAUUACUGGGCGUAAAGGCUCGUAGGCGGCUUUGUAAGUUAGAGGUGAAAGCCCGGGGGCUCAACUCCGGAAUUGCCUUUAAGACUGCAUCGCUAGAAUUGUGGAGAGGUAAGUGGAAUUCCGAGUGUAGAGGUGAAAUUCGUAGAUAUUCGGAAGAACACCAGUGGCGAAGGCGACUUACUGGACACAUAUUGACGCUGAGGUGCGAAAGCGUGGGGAGCAAAGCAG
rnacentral:rRNA from 1 species